rnacentral:rRNA from 1 species
CCUACGGGAGGCAGCAGUAGGGGAUAUUGCUCAAUGGGGGAAACUCUGAAGCAGCAACGCCGCGUGGAGGAUGAAGGUUUUCGGAUUGUAAACUCCUUUUGUUAGAGAAGAUAAUGACGGUAUCUAACGAAUAAGCACCGGCUAACUACGUGCCAGCAGCCGCGGUAAUACGGAGGGUGCCAGCGUUACUCGGAAUCACUGGGCGUAAAGAGCGCGUAGGCGGGAUAGCAAGUCAGAUGUGAAAUCCUAUGGCUUAACCAUAGAACUGCAUUUGAAACUGUUAUUCUAGAGUAUGGGAGAGGUAGGUGGAAUUCUUGGUGUAGGGGUAAAAUCCGUAGAGAUCAAGAGGAAUACACAUUGCGAAGGCGACCUGCUAGAACAUAACUGACGCUGAUGCGCGAAAGCGUGGGGAGCAAACAGGAUUAGAUACCCGAGUAGUC